rnacentral:rRNA from 1 species
CCUACGGGUGGCUGCAGUGGGGAAUUUUGGACAAUGGGCGCAAGCCUGAUCCAGCCAUGCCGCGUGGGUGAAGAAGGCCUUCGGGUUGUAAAGCCCUUUCGGCCGGGAAGAAAUCGUGCGGGCGAACAGUCUGCAUGGAUGACGGUACCGGAAGAAGAAGCACCGGCUAACUACGUGCCAGCAGCCGCGGUAAUACGUAGGGUGCGAGCGGUAAUCGGAACGUGCGGGCGCAAAGCGUUAGCAGGCCGCGGAACUCCCCGGGCUUAACCUGGGAACUGCGGUUGUGACUGUGGUGCUAGAGUACGGCAGAGGGAGGUGGAAUUCCUGGUGUAGCAGUGAAAUGCGUAGAGAUCAGGAGGAACACCGAUGGCGAAGGCAGCCUCCUGGGCUGAUACUGACGCUCAUGCACGAAAGCGUGGGGAGCAAACAGGAUUAGAUACCCGAGUAGUC